rnacentral:misc_RNA from 1 species
AAGUCGUAACAAGGUUUCCGUAGGUGAACCUGCGGAAGGAUCAUUACCUAGAGUUUGUAGACUUCGGUCUGCUACCUCUUACCAUGUCUUUUGAGUACCUUCGUUUCCUCGGCGGGUCCGCCCGCCGAUUGGAGCAAUCACUUCAAAACCCUUUUACGCCAGUUUGCAAAUCAGCGUCUGAAAAAACAAUAAUAGUUUACAA